rnacentral:rRNA from 1 species
GGUUAAGUGACUAAGCGUACACGGUGGAUGCCUUGGCAGUCAGAGGCGAUGAAAGACGUAGUAACUUGCGAUAAGCCCAGAUUAGGUAGUAACAACCAUUUGAGUCUGGGAUUUCUGAAUGGGGAAACCCACUUACAUAAGUAAGUAUCAUUAACUGAAUACAUAGGUUAAUGAGGCGAACCGGGGGAACUGAAACAUCUAAGUACCCCGAGGAAAAGAAAUCAACCGAGAUUCCGAAAGUAGCGGCGAGCGAAAUUGGACUAGCCCUUAAGCUUUACACGCGUUAGACGAACGGUCUGGAAAGUCCGACGAUACAGGGUGAUAGUCCCGUAGUUGACGACGUGUGUUCAGUGAAAUCGAGUAGGGCGGGACACGUGAUAUCCUGUCUGAAUAUGGGGGGACCAUCCUCCAAGGCUAAAUACUACUGACUGACCGAUAGUGAACCAGUACCGUGAGGGAAAGGCGAAAAGAACCCCUGUGAGGGGAGUGAAAUAGAACCUGAAACCGUGUACGUACAAGCAGUAGGAGCAGGCUUUGUCCUGUGACUGCGUACCUUUUGUAUAAUGGGUCAGCGACUUAUAUUCAGUGGCAAGGUUAACCAUCUAGGGGAGCCGUAGGGAAACCGAGUCUUAACUGGGCGUUCAGUCUCUGGAUAUAGACCCGAAACCAGGUGAUCUAGCCAUGGGCAGGUUGAAGGUUGAGUAACAUCAACUGGAGGACCGAACCGACUAAUGUUGAAAAAUUAGCGGAUGACUUGUGGCUAGGGGUGAAAGGCCAAUCAAACCUGGAGAUAGCUGGUUCUCCCCGAAAGCUAUUUAGGUAGCGCCUCGGACGAAUACUACUGGGGGUAGAGCACUGUUAAGGCUAGGGGGUCAUCCCGACUUACCAACCCUUUGCAAACUCCGAAUACCAGUAAGUACUAUCCGGGAGACACACGGCGGGUGCUAACGUCCGUCGUGGAGAGGGAAACAACCCAGACCGCCAGCUAAGGUCCCAAAUUACUACUAAGUGGGAAACGAUGUGGGAAGGCUCAGACAGCCAGGAUGUUGGCUUAGAAGCAGCCAUCAUUUAAAGAAAGCGUAAUAGCUCACUGGUCGAGUCGGCCUGCGCGGAAGAUGUAACGGGGCUAAGUAGUAAACCGAAGCUGCGGCAAUAUACUUUUGUAUAUUGGGUAGGGGAGCGUUCUGUAAGCGGUUGAAGGUGUGUGGUAACGCAUGCUGGACGUAUCAGAAGUGCGAAUGCUGACAUGAGUAACGAUAAAGGGGGUGAAAAACCUCCUCGCCGGAAGACCAAGGGUUCCUGUCCAACGUUAAUCGGGGCAGGGUAAGUCGACCCCUAAGGCGAGGCCGAAAGGCGUAGUCGAUGGGAAACGGGUUAAUAUUCCCGUACUUCUUACAAUUGCGAUGGGGGGACGGAGAAGGCUAGGUGGGCCUGGCGACGGUUGUCCAGGUUCAAGUGCGUAGGCUUAAGAGUUAGGUAAAUCCGGCUCUUUCUAAGGCUGAGACACGACGUCGAGCACCUACGGGUGUGAAGUCAUUGAUGCCAUGCUUCCAGGAAAAGCCUCUAAGCUUCAGAUUGUAAGGAAUCGUACCCCAAACCGACACAGGUGGUCGGGUAGAGAAUACCAAGGCGCUUGAGAGAACUCGGGUGAAGGAACUAGGCAAAAUGGUACCGUAACUUCGGGAGAAGGUACGCUCUUGAUGGUGAAGUCCCUCGCGGAUGGAGCUGACGAGAGUCGCAGAUACCAGGUGGCUGCAACUGUUUAUUAAAAACACAGCACUGUGCAAAAUCGUAAGAUGACGUAUACGGUGUGACGCCUGCCCGGUGCCGGAAGGUUAAUUGAUGGGGUUAGACUUCGGUCGAAGCUCUUGAUCGAAGCCCCGGUAAACGGCGGCCGUAACUAUAACGGUCCUAAGGUAGCGAAAUUCCUUGUCGGGUAAGUUCCGACCUGCACGAAUGGCGUAAUGAUGGCCACGCUGUCUCCACCCGAGACUCAGUGAAAUUGAAAUCGCUGUGAAGAUGCAGUGUACCCGCGGCUAGACGGAAAGACCCCGUGAACCUUUACUACAGCUUGGCACUGAACAUUGACCCUACAUGUGUAGGAUAGGUGGGAGGCUUUGAAGCACGUACGCCAGUAUGUGUGGAGCCGUCCUUGAAAUACCACCCUUGUAGUGUUGAUGUUCUAACGUCGACCCCUUAUCGGGGUUGCGGACAGUGCCUGGUGGGUAGUUUGACUGGGGCGGUCUCCUCCCAAAGAGUAACGGAGGAGCACGAAGGUGGGCUAAUCACGGUUGGACAUCGUGAGGUUAGUGCAAUGGCAUAAGCCCGCUUGACUGCGAGAAUGACAAUUCGAGCAGGUGCGAAAGCAGGUCAUAGUGAUCCGGUGGUUCUGAAUGGAAGGGCCAUCGCUCAACGGAUAAAAGGUACUCCGGGGAUAACAGGCUGAUACCGCCCAAGAGUUCAUAUCGACGGCGGUGUUUGGCACCUCGAUGUCGGCUCAUCACAUCCUGGGGCUGAAGUCGGUCCCAAGGGUAUGGCUGUUCGCCAUUUAAAGUGGUACGCGAGCUGGGUUUAGAACGUCGUGAGACAGUUCGGUCCCUAUCUGCCGUGGGCGUUGGAAGAUUGAAGGGGGCUGCUCCUAGUACGAGAGGACCGGAGUGGACGAACCUCUGGUGUUCGGGUUGUGUCGCCAGACGCAUUGCCCGGUAGCUAAGUUCGGAAUCGAUAACCGCUGAAAGCAUCUAAGCGGGAAGCGAGCCCUGAGAUGAGUCUUCCCUGAUACUUUAAGUAUCCUAAAGGGUUGUCGGAGACUACGACGUUGAUAGGUCAGGUGUGUAAGUGCUGUGAGGCAUUGAGCUAACUGAUACUAAUUGCCCGUGAGGCUUAACCAU